rnacentral:lncRNA from 1 species
AGGCUUAUUUUGUUGUCCCUUUUAUAACUUUUUUGUUAGACAUUAAGUUCAUUCAUUUUCAUCUUUUUUGCUUAGUAAUACAUAUUUAAGGUCUGUGAAUUUUCCCUAAGCACUGUUUGUUUUAUUACUGUGAGAAUUUUUUUUCUAAGCCUUCUUGAUCCAAAGAUUCAAUUGUGAGUGUUUUAGUCGGCUUUUGUGAAGCUGUGACCAAAAGAAACCUGGCAAGAACAACUUCGAGGAGAAAAAGUUUAUUUUGGCUCAUGGCUUUAGAGGUUCAGCCUAUGGUUGGCCAACUCUAUAGCUCUGGGGCCUGAGGUGAGCAGAAAAUGGUGGCAGAAGGGUGUGGCAGACAAAGCAGUUCAGGGAAUGACAACCAGGAAGCGGAGAGAGCUCUGCUCUCCAGAAACAAAACAAACUCCAAAGUCACGCCCCCAGGGACCCACCUCCUCCAGCUACACCCCACCUGCCUACAGUUGCACCCCAGUUAAUCCCUAUCAGUGGAUUAAUCCACCAUUAGGUUAUGGCUUUCAUAAUCUAAUAUUUUCACCUUAACAUUCUUGCAUUGUCUCACACAUGUGCUUUUGGAAGACGCCGCAUAUUUAAACCAUUAUAGAGUACUUACUAAAUACAAGUUUCCUGGGCCCAUCUUGGGCUCACUGGAUUGGAAUGUCCCAGGAAAGGGACACCCACAAUGGUGUGGGCGAACAGGCACCAUUCUCCUAUGGGUAAGGGAACUUAACACGUAUCACAGAUGAGUUCUUAUAGUGCAAGGAUUUUUGAGAAACAUACCCAGACCAUGUGCUAUUUCAAAUGUUCUAAUUCGUUUUCUUCUAGAUAAUCUGUAAUUCACUUUUGACUAAAGAAUCAUUACAUUUCUAGGACACAGCAUUAUUUUUUUUGAGGAUUUCUUUCUCCUUUCUCCCCCCGAGGCACUUGGAAUAAAGUUCUAUUCUGUGUGUUUGGAGUAUCCCAUCCCAUAAACUUAUUCCCUAGAUUUGAGGUCAUCCUUGUACUUAUUGUGUCUAGUUUGUUGUGAGUGGAGAGUGGUAAGAAUAAAGACCUUUUGUUCUUGUUACCAUUUUGAAUGUGUUUUCUGC